AUGAAGCCUAAUAAUAAACCAUCUGGUGUUGCUUCUGAAAUUAAAUUGAAAAGUGCAUGUUUAUUUGCCACCAAAUCUGAUAUUGAUGAGCUAGAUUUCAGCAAAUCUGUUUGCUAUGCUUUUGUGUGCAAAGAGGCAUUAUUUUCAUUCGAGGACGUGCCUUCCUCUUUGCCUCCUGCUGUCACUAACAUUUUGCAGGAGUUCGCUGACGUCUUUCCACAAGACGUGCCACCGGGAUUACCGCCUAUUCGAGGGAUUAAGCAUCAGAUUGACUUAAUUCCCGGUGCUUCACUGCCAAACCGUGCACCAUACCGUACCAAUCCAGAGGAGACGAAGGAGAUUAUGCGUCAAGUAAAAGAGCUUCUCGACAAAGGUUAUAUACGCGAAUCCCUUAGUCCUUGUGCUGUCCCUAUUAUUCUAGUGCCGAAAAAGGAUGGUACAUCACGUAUGUGUGUUGAUUGUAGAGGUAUUAAUAAUAUUACUAUUCGUUAUCGUCAUCCUAUUCCUAGGCUAGAUGAUAUGCUUGAUGAAUUGAGUGGCUCUACAAUAUUCUCCAAAGUUGAUUUGCGUAGUGGCUACCAUCAAAUUCGUAUGAAAUUGGGAGAUGAAUGGAAAACAGCAUUUAAAACUAAGUUUGGAUUAUAUGAGUGGUUAGUCAUGCCUUUUGGGUUAACUAAUGCACCUAGUACUUUCAUGAGAUUAAUGAACGAAGUUUUAUGUGCUUUCAUUGGACGAUUUGUGGUAGUUUACUUUGAUGACAUAUUGAUUUAUAGCAGAUCUUUGGAAGAACAUUUGGAACAUUUACGUGCUGUUUUUAUUGCUCUACGUGAUGCACGUUUGUUUGGUAACCUUGGGAAGUGCACCUUUUGCACCGACCGAGUAUCUUUUCUUGGCUAUGUUGUUACUCCACAGGGAAUUGAAGUUGACAAAGCCAAGAUUGAAGCUAUUGAGAGUUGGCCACAGCCCAAAACGGUCACACAAGUGAGGAGUUUUCUUGGCCUCGCUGGAUUCUAUAGGCGUUUUGUGAGAGAUUUCAGCACCAUUGCUGCACCUCUCAACGAGCUUACAAAGAAGGAUGUGCCUUUUGUUUGGGGUACCGCACAGGAAGAAGCCUUCACGGUAUUGAAAGAUAAGUUGACACAUGCUCCUUUACUCCAACUUCCUGAUUUUAAAAAGACUUUUGAGCUUGAAUGUGAUGCUAGUGGAAUUGGAUUAGGAGGUGUGUUAUUACAAGAUGGCAAACCUGUUGCAUACUUUUCUGAAAAAUUGAGUGGGCCUAAUCUGAAUUAUUCUACUUAUGAUAAAGAAUUAUAUGCUCUUGUUCGGACUUUAGAAACAUGGCAACAUUAUUUAUGGCCCAAAGAAUUUGUUAUACAUUCUGAUCAUGAAUCUUUGAAACAUAUUAAAAGUCAAGCUAAACUGAAUCGUAGACAUGCUAAAUGGGUUGAAUUCAUUGAGACUUUCCCUUAUGUCAUUAAACACAAGAAGGGAAAAGAAAAUGUUAUUGCUGAUGCAUUGUCUCGUCGCUAUACUAUGCUUUCACAACUUGACUUCAAAAUAUUUGGUUUAGAGACCAUCAAAGAUCAAUAUGUGCAUGAUGCUGAUUUUAAAGAUGUAAUGCAUAAUUGUAAAGAAGGAAGAAUGUGGAACAAGUUUGUUGUUAACGAUGGAUUUGUGUUUCGUGCUAACAAGUUAUGCAUUCCAGCUAGCUCCGUUCGUCUUUUGUUGUUGCAGGAGGCGCAUGGAGGAGGAUUAAUGGGACACUUUGGCGUGAAGAAGACGGAGGACGUACUUGCUACACAUUUCUUUUGGCCAAAGAUGAGACGGGAUGUUGAGCGUUUUAUUGCUCGCUGCACUACAUGUCAAAAAGCUAAGUCACGACUCAAUCCUCAUGGUUUAUAUAUGCCUUUGCCUGUACCUAGUGUUCCUUGGGAGGAUAUAUCUAUGGACUUUGUUUUAGGUUUACCUCGAACAAAGAAGGGGAGGGAUAGCAUAUUUGUUGUCGUGGAUAGAUUCUCGAAAAUGGCACACUUUAUACCAUGUCAUAAAAGCGAUGAUGCUGUUAAUGUUGCUGAUUUGUUCUUCGUGAAAUUAUUCAUCGUGGUACUAAAUUUCUUAGCCACUUUUGGAGAUGUUUAUGGGCUAAGUUGCGGACUAAACUGCUUUUUAGUACUACUUGUCACCCCCAAACUGAUGGACAAACUGAAGUAG
rnacentral:rRNA from 1 species